GUGCUGACUCAUGGCAGCACAUAUACUAAAACUGGAACCAUACAAAGAAGAUUAGUAUGGCCCCUGCGCAAACAUGACAUGCAAAUUUGUGAAGCAUUGCAUAUUUUU
rnacentral:snRNA from 1 species